UGGGUAACCUGCCUCAAAGAGGGAAUAGCCUCCCGAAAGGGAGAUUAAUACCGCAUAAUAUGUUUAAGUCGCAUGACUUUAACAUCAAAGGAUUUUCUUUAGAAAUUCCACUUUGAG
rnacentral:rRNA from 1 species